GAUGAAGAACGUAGCAAAAUGCGAUAAGUAAUGUGAAUUGCAGAAUUCAGUGAAUCAUCGAAUCUUUGAACGCACAUUGCGCCCGCUGGUAUUCCGGCGGGCAUGCCUGUUCGAGCGUCAUUUCAACCCUCAAGCCCCCGGGCUUGGUGUUGGGGAUCGGCGUGCCCUCGCGGCGCGCCGUCCCCUAAAUCUAGUGGCGGUCUCGCUGUAGCUUCCUCUGCGUAGUAGCAACACUCGCACUGGAUCGCAGCGCGGCCACGCCGUUAAACCCCCCACUUCUGAAAGUUUGACCUCGGAUCAGGUAGGAAUACCCGCUGAACUUAAGCAUAUCAAUAAGCGGAGGA
rnacentral:misc_RNA from 1 species